UGGGGAAUAUUGCACAAUGGGGGAAACCCUGAUGCAGCGACGCCGCGUGAGCGAAGAAGGCCUUCGGGUCGUAAAGCUCUUUUAUAUGGGAAGAUAAUGACGGUACCAUAAGAAAAAGCCCCGGCUAACUACGUGCCAGCAGCCGCGGUAAUACGUAGGGGGCUAGCGUUGUCCGGAAUCACUGGGCGUAAAGGGUUCGCAGGCGGCAAUGCAAGUCAGAUGUAAAAGGCAAAGGCUCAACCUUUGUAAGCAUCUGAAACUGUAUAGCUUGAGAAGUGUAGAGGGAAGUGGAAUUUUUAGUGUAGCGGUGAAAUGCGUAGAUAUUAAAAAGAAUACCGGUGGCGAAGGCGACUUACUGGGCUCAUUCUGACGCUGAGGAACGAAAGCGUGGGUAGCAAACAGG
rnacentral:rRNA from 1 species